rnacentral:rRNA from 1 species
AUGCUGCUAAUCUCUAUUUUUUUCCUUUUCUAUACCUGCAGAUUGGUCCUCUGUGGCUCAAUCCCCUGGUCGAUGCCUCCUUCGAUCUAUGGCUGCUCUUCUCUGUUUACUGAUGUGCGGGUCAACCCUUCUUCUCCCCCUCCUUUAUGCUCCCCUUCUUUUCCAAAGCUAGGUACACGGUUGUAUGGUGAUAUGCUGGUUGUGCAUAGGCUGGAGAAUAAGAUCCUUCUAUUUCUUGUCUUGUUUCUGAUACAACCAAAAGUAUCAGUCACUUUGCGCACUGGUUUUUUUGCGGUUGCCUUGCCUUUUGUCCCUUCCUGGUAG